GACGAACGCUGGCGGCGUGCUUAACACAUGCAAGUCGAACGGAAAGGCCCUGCUUUUGUGGGGUGCUCGAGUGGCGAACGGGUGAGUAACACGUGAGUAACCUGCCCUUGACUUUGGGAUAACUUCAGGAAACUGGGGCUAAUACCGGAUAGGAGCUCCUGCUGCAUGGUGGGGGUUGGAAAGUUUCGGCGGUUGGGGAUGGACUCGCAGCUUAUCAGCUUGUUGGUGGGGUAGUGGCUUACCAAGGCUUUGACGGGUAGCCGGCCUGAGAGGGUGACCGGCCACAUUGGGACUGAGAUACGGCCCAGACUCCUACGGGAGGCAGCAGUGGGGAAUAUUGCACAAUGGGCGGAAGCCUGAUGCAGCAACGCCGCGUGCGGGAUGACGGCCUUCGGGUUGUAAACCGCUUUCGCCUGUGACGAAGCGUGAGUGACGGUAAUGAGUAAAGAAGCACCGGCUAACUACGUG
rnacentral:rRNA from 1 species